CCCUUGGGGAGUAGCCGCCGCGAACUUACGCGGGGAUGCGUCAACAGGCUUGGAGGCUUCGACCUUCAUGGCGCAUCCAGUCCGGAUUCGGAUUGGCGAGACCAAGCGCGAGUGCCCGCCGGAACAAGAAACCGGGCGGCCGGGCAUAUCGCGCUUGCGUACUCGUUGCCGCCCGGACU
rnacentral:sRNA from 1 species